GAUGAACGCUGGCGGCGUGCCUAAUACAUGCAAGUCGAGCGAACGGACGAUAAGCUUGCUUCCCUGAUGUUAGCGGCGGACGGGCGAGUAACACGUGGAUAACCUACUUCUAAUUCUGGGAUAACUUCGGAGAACCGGAGAUAAUACUAGCUGAUAUUUUGUACCGCUGGGAUCAAAAGUUCAUGACGGCUUUGGUGUCAGUUAUAGCUGGUUCCGCGUUGCAUUAGCUAGUUGGUAAGGUAACGGCCUACCAAGGCAACGAUGCAUAGCCGAUCUGAGAGGGUGAUCGGCCACACUGGAACUGAGACACGGUCCAGACUCCUACGGGAGGCAGCAGUAGGGAAUAUUCGGCAAUGGGCGAAAGCCUGACGGAGCAACACCGCGUGAGUGAUGAAGGUCUUCGGGUCGUAAAGCUCUUUUGUUGGGGAAGAACAGAUGUGGAAGUAAAUGUGGACAUUUUGACGGUACCUAAUCAGAAAGCCCCGGCUAACUACGUG
rnacentral:rRNA from 1 species